AUAACUUACUUCACUGAAGAGCUUUACAGGCAAAUAUUUUCAUAUGGAUGACUGGAUUAUUUGUUAUUUUAUUGUUUGUGAUAUUGUAAUCCUUGUUUAAAUCAGGAAGAAACGCAUGAAGACAGAACAGUGAAAAAAAUGAAUCUAGCGAAGCUUUUCAGACAGAUCAGCCGGCCUGAAAUAAGAAAACAGAUGCAGAUGGAGUGUAGAAUAGAAACAACGCAUGCAGAAAACUGCUGGAGCUUCAGAAACCACAGACCAGCAAAAAACAGCAGGACUGAGAGAGAAAUGGAGGACAGAAAUAAAACACUAACCAGUGAAUCACAAGAGAAAGGCAGAGAGAUUUGUUAGAUGUGAGAGCAUGGGGAAAAUAAAGCCAGACCUCUCUUGUGAAGACCUGAACAUUAUCCUUCAUCACAACAGCUCUUGGACUCGGUUUCAGACUCAUCUGAUCACAAACAAACAGACUCAUGAACAGAUUUUCUCUCAGAUCUGUGUCUCAAUCCUGCUCUGAUGCACUUUACUGACAACAUUCUGCAUCAACACUCAAUCUCUGCUUCUGCCGUGUUUCACUCAGUAUUCUGCACUGCCUCACAUAUUUAUGACUGCAAUAUUCUGCAUUUCUCGUCUACAUUUCAUUCAUCAUGUAUAUUUAGUAUUUAUGUAUGUUUAUAUUUUAAUACAGUUCAUAGAUUCUAUAUUUCUCUAUAUAUUUUUGUAUAACUCUGUACUGUUUUACAUGCAUUUAUUACUCAUCCUUCCUUAAAGACAAAGCUUGAGUUAAUAUGAACAGAAAUCUGCUGCUAUGUUUGGAGAAGUUCAGUACAUUUCAUCUGGAUUCUUUACAUGUUUAAUUACGCAAAACUGAAAUAUUUAUAAAUAAAUGUUUUGCUAUAUUUUCAAAUUUGUAAAUCUGAUAGAAUUAUCAAGCAAGUGAUAUUCACUUCAUACUGAAGACAGCAUUCAAUUGUAUAGUGUUUGUCCAGAGCUGGUGUUUGCCGUAACAUACUUAUACACAUUUAUACUGUAGUUCAGAUCAUUGAGUGCCUUAAAAGUGUCUGUACUCUCAGAAAAAACUGUCACUCUGCAGCAUUACCCCAAAUGGUACUAAGAUGUACAAUUUAGAUUCUUAUGGGUAAUUUAAAAGUUUUAAUAUGUAUGUUUAAGAUACUAAAACUUACCAUUUAGCAGCAAAUAAUGUAAAGAGUGUAAAGUAAAGACAUUUUUGUCUUUUGUAACUUAACAGAUUUACACCUUUUUUCUGAGAGUGUAACUAACUGUAAAAAAUGUUUUAUGCCGAAAUAAUAUGCAUUCUAUCUAAAAUAAUAUCUGCCUGUUGCUCAUCAAGAUCAUAACUAAACAUCUCUCUAAAGACAA